rnacentral:misc_RNA from 1 species
GAUGAAGAACGUAGCGAAAUGCGAUACUUGGUGUGAAUUGCAGAAUCCCGUGAACCAUCGAGUCUUUGAACGCAAGUUGCGCCCGAAGCCACUAGGCCGAGGGCACGCCUGCCUGGGCGUCACACGCCGUUGCCCCCCCAUCUACUCCUUCGGGAUUGCGGGGGGGCGGAUGAUGGCCUCCCGUGCGCCUAGCCGCGCGGUUGGCAUAAAUACCAAGUCCUCGGCGACGCACGCCACGACAAUCGGUGGUUGCGAAACCUCGGUUGCCCGUCGUGUGCGUUCGUCGCGCAUCGAGGGCUCGAAAAAAUGCUCGGCUCCGGCUGGGCUUUCAACGCGACCCCAGGGCAGGCGGGGUUACCCGCUGAAUUUAAGCAUAUCAAUAAGCGGAGGA